GAUCCCAGCUGUCUGAUGAUUUACAAGGGAUUCCUAUAAAGCUGGCUUCAAAAGUUGCACACACAGAGAAAAAGCUAAGAACUCAAGGCAGCACCUUGACCUUACAUUCCUGAAAGAGGAAUAUCACUUACUUCAAGUCUUGGCUAAUGUUGCUGCAUUAUGCUUGGUUGACAACGUUGUCGUGUGCAGUUUUAUGGAGAUGAACUGAUGAAUUAAUCAACUAAAACUCAAACAAUGAAUUCAGGAAGAUUUCUUUAAUGGGGUAUCAGCUAUUGUAAACAACAACAACAACCCAGAUGCAGUUGGGCGGAAAAAAAGUGGGAUUCUUUUAUUUCCACCGUGCUGUCAACAAUGAAAUCAAAUGCAGCUCUGUUUACAUGCAAAGGGCAGGGUUUAUUAUUCUCAUUCCUAAGAUGACGCAGCAGCAGCUGAGACAGAACUUGGAAAGGGGAAAAGGCCACUGGCAUGACACAGGGAAAUGCACUGGCUUCAGCUUUCAUCCAUCAAGGAGCAAUAAGAGGGAAAUUAUUAUUGGCUGCUUGUUGCAGGGUUUAAGCGCUUGGUCUUCCUUUCAGAUGGUUCUGACUUUUAAAUAGCUUCAAGCACCCCAGUCCUAAAUAUCAGCACUUAGAAUCAUAGAGUUGGAAGAGACCCCAAGCGCCAUGCAGUCCAAUCCCAUUCUGCCAUUCAGGAAUUCAUAGUUCAGUGAUGGUGAACCUUUUACAG